rnacentral:lncRNA from 1 species
GACUAAAAUAAAAAAGAAAAGACAUUAAAAGAGGACAAUUUUGUUGUCUUCUGCAUAACAUUAAAAAUAGCCUCAAGUAUUGCUACGUUAAUGUACACAUCAAGAAAUUCACUGACGAAAUAAUUCUAAAUUGUUUCAAUUUAUAAUCAUUUCAACUCAUACAAAUAUUAAAACGAGAUAUUCGUUUUCAGGGCUAAUACUUGGGUUUUACUCUUUUUCCUUGUCAGUUUGUAAGGAAAGUUGUAAUUUGUUUGCAGUAAUUUGUCGUUAUUGUGUUU